GCCCGGAUGAUCCUCAGUGGUCUGGGGUGC
rnacentral:piRNA from 6 species